GUGCUCGCUUCGGCAGCACAUAUAUUAAAAUUGGAACGAUACAGAGAUUAGCAUGGCCCCUGCACAAGGAUGAAUUUUUGUACCUUCAUACUUUGUUUUACUUU